rnacentral:rRNA from 1 species
UACGUAGGGCGCAAGCGUUGUCCGGAAUUAUUGGGCGUAAAGAGCUCGUAGGUGGCUUGUCACGUCGGGUGUGAAAGCUUGGGGCUUAACUCCAGGUCUGCAUUCGAUACGGGCUGGCUAGAGGUAGGUAGGGGAGAACGGAAUUCCUGGUGUAGCGGUGAAAUGCGUAGAUAUCUGGAGGAACACCGGUGGCGAAGGCGGCAUCCUGGACCGGCAUUGACGCUGAGGCGCGAAAGCCAGGGGAGCAAACGGG